AUUGAACGCUGGCGGCAGGCCUAACACAUGCAAGUCGAACGAGUGGCGGACGGGUGAGUAAUGUCUGGGAAACUGCCCGAUGGAGGGGGAUAACUACUGGAAACGGUAGCUAAUACCGCAUACCAUCGGAUGUGCCCAGAUGGGAUUAGCUAGUUGGUGGGGUAACGGCUCACCAAGGCGACGAUCCCUAGCUGGUCUGAGAGGAUGACCAGCCACAAUGGAACUGAGACACGGUCCAGACUCCUACGGGAGGCAGCAGUGGGGAAUAUUGCACAAUGGGCGCAAGCCUGAUGCAGCAAUGCCGCGUGUAUGAAGAAGGCCUUCGGGUUGUAAAGUACUGUCGGCGGGGAGGCGUUACUCGAAGAAGAAGCAACGGCUAACUCCGUGCCAGCAGCCGCGGUAAUUC
rnacentral:rRNA from 1 species